AUUUGUCUGGUUAAUUCCGAUAACGAACGAGACCUUAACCUGCUAACUAGAUCUUAUUAUCUUAUAAUUUGCAUCUUCUUAGAGGGACUAUGUAAUCUAAAUACAUGGAAGUUUGAGGCAAUAACAGGUCAGUGAUGCCCUUAUAUGUCCUGGGCUGCACGCGUGCUACACUGAUGCAUACAACAAGUGCCUAACCAGACAUGGUAUGGCAAUCUCGAAUAUGCAUCGUGAUGGGGAUAGAUCUUUGCAAUUAUAGAUCUUGAACCGAGGGAAUUCUAGUAAGUGGCAAGUCAUCAUCUUGCAUUGAUUAUGUCCCUGCCCUUUGUACACACCGCCCGUCGCUCCUACCGAUACCGGGUGAUCCGGUGAACCUUUUGGACUCUUUAUGGGAAAGAUAAGUAAACCAUAUCACCUAAAGGAAGGAGAAGUCGUAACAAGGUUUCCGUAGGUGAACCUGCRGAAGGAUCA
rnacentral:rRNA from 1 species